rnacentral:rRNA from 1 species
CGGACGGGUGAGUAAUGCCUGGGAAAUUGCCCUGAUGUGGGGGAUAACCAUUGGAAACGAUGGCUAAUACCGCAUAAUAGCUUCGGCUCAAAGAGGGGGACCUUCGGGCCUCUCGCGUCAGGAUAUGCCCAGGUGGGAUUAGCUAGUUGGUGAGGUAAGGGCUCACCAAGGCAACGAUCCCUAGCUGGUCUGAGAGGAUGAUCAGCCACACUGGAACUGAGACACGGUCCAGACUCCUACGGGAGGCAGCAGUGGGGAAUAUUGCACAAUGGGCGCAAGCCUGAUGCAGCCAUGCCGCGUGUAUGAAGAAGGCCUUCGGGUUGUAAAGUACUUUCAGCCGUGAGAAGGUUCAUGAGUUAAUAGCGUAUGGAUUUGACGUUAGCUGCAGAAGAAGCACCGGCUAACUCCGUGCCAGCAGCCGCGGUAAUACGGAGGGUGCGAGCGUUAAUCGGAAUUACUGGGCGUAAAGCGCAUGCAGGUGGUUUGUUAAGUCAGAUGUG